rnacentral:rRNA from 1 species
UGGGGAAUUUUACGCAAUGGGGGAAACCCUGACGUAGCGACACCGCGUGAGCGAAGAAGCCCUUUGGGGUGUAAAGCUCUGUCAGCUGGAACGAAAACAAUGACGGUACCAGCAGAGGAAGCAUCGGCUAACUACGUGCCAGCAGCCGCGGUAAGACGUAGGAUGCGAGCGUUGUCCGGAUUUAUUGGGCGUAAAGAGUUCGUAGGUGGUUUGUUAAGUUUGGUGUUAAAGAUCGGGGCUCAACCCUGGGACUGCACUGAAUACUGGCAGACUCGAGUGUGGUAGGGGCUAGUGGAAUUCCCAGUGUAGCGGUGAAAUGCGUAGAUAUUGGGAAGAACACCGGUGGCGUAGGCGACUAGCUGGGCCAUAACUGACGCUGAGGAACGAAAGCCAGGGGAGCGAAUGGG